rnacentral:rRNA from 1 species
AUACGAAGGGUGCGAGCGUUAAUGGGAAUUACUGGGCGUAAAGCGCGCGUAGGCGGUUGGAUAAGUCGGAUGUGAAAGCCCCGGGCUCAACCUGGGAAUUGCAUUCGAAACUGUCCGGCUAGAGUAUCGUAGAGGGAAGCGGAAUUCCACAUGUAGCGGUGAAAUGCGUAGAUAUGUGGAGGAACACCAGUGGCGAAGGCGGCUUCCUGGACCAAUACUGACGCUGAGGUGCGAAAGCGUGGGGAGCAAACAGGAUUAGAAACCCUAGUAGUCC